rnacentral:misc_RNA from 1 species
CCGGCGGGCUGGUUCAAACCGGCCCGCCGGACCA